rnacentral:rRNA from 1 species
UACAGAGGGUGCGAGCGUUGUCCGGAAUUACUGGGCGUAAAGGGCGCGUAGGCGGCUUGGUAAGUCGGGGGGUGAAAGUCAGCGGCUCAACCGCUGGACUGCCUUCGAGACUGCCUGGCUCGAGCAUGGUAGAGGCUGGCGGAAUUCCCGGUGUAGCGGUGGAAUGCGUAGAGAUCGGGAGGAACACCGGUGGCGAAGGCGGGUCUCUGGGCCGAUACUGACGCUGAGGAGCGAAAGCGUGGGGAGCGAACAGG